AGAGAGAGGGGGGGGGAGAGUUUGAGAUCGGGGAUAGGGCAUGCAAAAGUGAGAGAAAAAGAUGCUGAGAAAGAGGCAGAGUAAGAGAGCGGAGAGAGAGAGAGAAGGCUGUGAGCAUGGGACCGUGAUGGUGAGAGGGAGGGAAAGAAAAAGAGAGAAGGGGUGUAUGUGUGCGUGUGCGUGAGUGUCUGCGCUGGUGUGUGUGAGUGUCUGCGCGCGUGUGUACUCUGUGUGUCUGCAUGUGUGUGUAGGCACAUCUCUUGCGCGUGAGCGUGCGUGUACGCAUGUGUGUGUGCGUGAGUGAAUGUGUGUUUGUGUGUCUGACGGCGAGGACAGAGGCUGAGAAGGUGGCUGUGCUGGUGGCUGCGAUGGGGGGAAGGUAGGCUGUGAAUCAAUACCCCUGUCUUUAAUGUACCUGCUGAUGGGCUGGCUGGCUGGCUGGGUCAGUGUCUGAGUCCAGCCAUCCCCACUCGUCCGCCGGAGAACAGAGGAGAGGAGAAGAGGAGAGAAGACAAGAGAGGGGAGGAGAGGAGAGGAGAGGCAACUGAGGCAGCAGCGUCAGGCAGCAGACAGGCAGUGGCACUAGAGGCAGAGUCUGGCAAGAGGCUGGUUGGCUUUUUUUUUUUUUUUUCAAACACCCCUCUGACUGCUAGCCAGAGAAAGGAAGUCGGCAGUGAAGAAAAGGAAGGAAAAAGGGAGGGCGGAAGGAGGGGAGAGAGGCGAAAGAAUCUGAUUUCUUCUUCUUCUUCUUCUUCUUCUUCUUCUUAACCCGGGGACAGGGAGGCAGACUUGUCUUUCUCCGAUGGCAGCAGACUUCCAGUGGAGGGAUACGUUUGGCUUUUACUCGUCUCUGUCCCUCAGCAGCCUUAGGAUUUGAAUCUUGCUUCCCCAUAAGGAAGUCUGUCUGCCUGGGUGCUAUCCAUCCCCUUCCUUCACUUUGAUGCCAUACCACGUUAGCGAACAAAAGGACCUUGCAAAAUGGCCAGAGGAUUCAUGUUUUCCUGGGCACAUGAAACAGUAGUGCAAGAAGAACCGAUUUGGUUGAUGCGGGCCUUCAAAUCUUUAAUUUUAUUUUAUUAUUUAAUAAUUUUUUUUUGGGGGGGGGGGUGGAGACAGGAUCCUGCAGGAUCUCCAUCUUCCCUUGUCCUCACAUCACCUGGACCGUUGGAGGGCGUGAGUUCAGAGUCAUCCCGGCGCACACAGAGCAGUCGACAGUCGAUUUUCAACAGGAAAAAAAGGGAAUUAUACAGGGUAUACCCAUUGGUUUUGUGAAUUAGGUUUAGGAAUGACACGACGAAAGGUUUUGUGACUAGUUUGCAUCAAGAAGACUAAAACGCGCAAGAUAAUGUCAUAGAAACUUGUCACACUGGUGCACAUUGCUGUCUUUAAAGGGAAGAUCUCGGAGCUUCUCUGCGGCAUGCUAUAUUGUGGUGAAAUGCAGUAUCUAAUUCUGCCUCCAUUGUGUCAUCCUGACACUUAGCUUUCUGUUACCAGUAAAAAUGUGUGAUGUCGCGUAUUAUUAAUAGCAUGAUGUAUAGAGACACCAUGUAGCUCAUAAGCUUCAGUUUGAUAGUACACUGCAACAUUUGUUUCUCGAAGGUUCCUCACAUCUUUUUUUUCACAGAUGUGAUAUGACAAAAGCUGACGAGAAAAAAAAACGAAAAGCCAAGAAGGAAAAAAAUCACUAACGUGUCUGAGUUUCAAAAAUUGUUUAAGACAAGCCUUUGUGUCCCAGCGUGCACCUCUGUCCCUGAGACCCUUAACCUGUGAAGUCAUAACAGGUCACAGGUGAGGUCCUCAGGAACAGGGUUUCAUGCGUUUUCACCCCAGUAGUCCUGUAGAGUUCUGCUGUACAUUCACUUCCCUGAGAUAGAGAGACCCAAAAGGUAAUCUACGGCUUUAAAACCACUCACGAAUGAAGUGUGCUGAUGACCUUUCCUAAAACUGCUGAUCUAACUAAAAAGGACCAGACCCGCAGAUUGAACGAUACGCCCUAUGAAUAUUCAUCGCAACGAUUACUAGCCUUUCAUCAGACAUUUUCCGAGCAAGGGCAGAGAGAGGGAAAACAGAGAAGAAAAGAGGGUAGGAUGCUAAAUGAAGGAGGACGAGAGACCGAGGAAGAGGAUGAGGAAGAGCAAAUUGUUCUUGACUCAAGGGGGCAUACCCUUUUGGCUGUCUUUGUUGUUCUCACCCCUGAGAGAUGUGAUGAGAAGGCAGCCAAGGCCAGUGACCCCGACACACAGUCCUCGCUGAAUGUGAUGGCUAAUGAAUGCAUCCCUCCUAUGGCAUAUAAACAGCUCUGAUAUUCUAUAUGAUGUUUCUUCUCUGGCACUACAUGAAUAAACAUGUGUUCUCACAAAA